rnacentral:rRNA from 1 species
CCUACGGGGGGCGGCAGUGGGGAAUAUUGCACAAUGGACGAAAGUCUGAUGCAGCAACGCCGCGUGGAGGAUGACACAUUUCGGUGUGUAAACUCCUUUUAUAUGAGAAGAUAAUGACGGUAUCAUAUGAAUAAGCACCGGCUAACUCCGUGCCAGCAGCCGCGGUAAUACGGGGGGUGCAAGCGUUACUCGGAAUCACUGGGCGUAAAGAGCAUGUAGGCGGGUGAAUAAGUUGGAAGUGAAAUCCUAUAGCUUAACUAUAGAACUGCUUCCAAAACUGUUCACCUAGAGUAUGGGAGAGGUAGAUGGAAUUUCUGGUGUAGGGGUAAAAUCCGUAGAGAUCAGAAGGAAUACCGAUUGCGAAGGCGAUCUACUGGAACAUUACUGACGCUCAGAUGCGAAAGCGUGGGGAGCAAACAGGAUUAGAUACCCUGGUAGUCCACGCCCUAAACGAUGUACACUAGUUGUUGCUAUACUAGAUAUGGCAGUAAUGCAGUUAACACUUUAAGUGUACCGCCUGGGGAGUACGGUCGCAAGAUUAAAACUCAAAGGAAUAGACGGGGACCCGCACAAGCGGUGGAGCAUGUGGUUUAAUUCGACGAUACGCGAAAAACCUUACCUGGCCUUGACAUAGUAGGAACUUUCUAGAGAUAGAUUGGUGCUAGCUUGCUAGAACCUAUAUACAGGUGCUGCACGGCUGUCGUCAGCUCGUGUCGUGAGAUGUUGGGUUAAGUCCCGCAACGAGCGCAACCCAUGUGAUUAGUUGCUAACGGUUCGGCCGAGAACUCUAAUCAGACUGCCUUCGUAAGGAGGAGGAAGGUGUGGACGACGUCAAGUCAUCAUGGCCCUUACGGCCAGGGCUACACACGUGCUACAAUGGGAUAUACAAAGAGCCGCAAUACCGCGAGGUGGAGCAAAUCUAGAAAAUAUCUCCCAGUUCGGAUUGUUCUCUGCAACUCGAGAACAUGAAGUUGGAAUCGCUAGUAAUCGUAGAUCAGCAUUGCUACGGUGAAUACGUUCCCGGGUCUUGUACUCACCGCCCGUCACACCAUGGGAGUUGAUUUCAUUCGAAGCGGGGAUGCUAAAGUAGCUACCUUCCACAAUGGGAUUAGCGACUGGGGUGAAGUCGUAACAAGGUAACC